rnacentral:rRNA from 1 species
UACGUAGGGGGCAAGCGUUAUCCGGAUUUACUGGGUGUAAAGGGAGCGCAGACGGAUGGAUAAGUCUGAAGUGAAAGCCCGCGGCUCAACUGCGGGACUGCUUUGGAAACUGUGCAUCUUGAGUACGGGAGGGGCAGGCGGAAUUCCUGGUGUAGCGGUGAAAUGCGUAGAUAUCAGGAGGAACACCGGCAGCGAAGGCGGCCUGCUGGACCGAAACUGACGUUGAGGCUCGAAAGCGUGGGGAGCAAACAGG